AAUACUGCUCGCACUGCCGUUCUUGCACAGUCACGGACUCAUCUUCGCCGCUUCUGUGGGUACAGCCUGUACGAUUGGUGCUGGAAUGAUCGUGAUUCCCGUUACUGUAUCCGGCUAUUUUGGUGUGGAACGAAUGUCGAUGUCGUACGGCAUCAUCGUUGCUUCGGCUGGGUUGUUCUCAUUCGGAAAACCUACAGUCAUAGGCUACUUCCGGGAUAGAGAAGGCGCCUACGAUGUCCUCUUUCUCAUCUGUGGAUCGCUGACAGUGCUGGCUGCUCUUGCGUGGACUCUGUUUUUCUUGCUAGAAGCAAGGCGAAAUAGAAACAAAAUGACGAAAGAGUGCACACAUGCAGAGAACGGGGUGGAAAUCACACGCAUGUGAACCUCCAAUAACGUGAAACAGGCAGCGGCCGAUAAGGAACACUGAGCCGUAAUGCGAAGCAUGCGUCACAGAAACUUCAGGAAGUUGGAAAAAUUGGCAUGCUUAAGGAGCAUCAUGAGGGGGCGGUUGUGCGAUCUUGCUUGUUCUGCUUGCAAGCUUUGACAGCUUUCCGAUUAAAUUGUUUCUGCGCAACAA